rnacentral:rRNA from 1 species
UUUCCCUACGGGACGCAGCAGUGGGGAGUAUUGCACAAUGGGGGAAACCCUGAUGCAGCGACGCCGCGUGAGCGAAGAAGUAUUUCGGUAUGUAAAGCUCUAUCAGCAGGGAAGAAAAAUGACGGUACCUGAGUAAGAAGCACCGGCUAAAUACGUGCCAGCAGCCGCGGUAAUACAUAGGGAGCAAGCGUUAUCCGGAUUUAUUGGGUGUAAAGGGUGCGUAGACGGGAAAUUAAGUUAGUUGUGAAAUCCCUCGGCUUAACUGAGGAACUGCAACUAAAACUGAUUUUCUUGAGUACUGGAGA